GGGCGAAAGCUGAUGGAGCACGCCGCGUGUGUGAUGAAGGGUUUCGGCUCGUAAAACACUGUUGUAAGAGAAGAAUGACAUUGAGAGUAACUGUUCAAUGUGUGACGGUAUCUUACCAGAAAGGAACGGCUAAAUACGUGCCAGCAGCCGCGGUAAUACGUAUGUUCCAAGCGUUAUCCGGAUUUAUUGGGCGUAAAGCGAGCGCAGACGGUUAUUUAAGUCUGAAGUGAAAGCCCUCAGCUCAACUGAGGAAUUGCUUUGGAAACUGGAUGACUUGAGUGCAGUAGAGGAAAGUGGAACUCCAUGUGUAGCGGUGAAAUGCGUAGAUAUAUGGAAGAACACCAGUGGCGAAGGCGGCUUUCUGGACUGUAACUGACGUUGAGGCUCGAAAGUGUGGGUAGCAAACAGGAUUAGAUACCCUGGUAGUCCACACCGUAAACGAUGAGUGCUAGGUGUUUGAGGGUUUCCGCCCUUAAGUGCCGCAGCUAACGCAUUAAGCACUCCGCCUUGGGGAGUACGACCGCAAGGUUGAAACUCAA
rnacentral:rRNA from 1 species